rnacentral:rRNA from 1 species
UACAGAGGGUGCGAGCGUUAAUCGGAAUUACUAGGCGUAAAGCGUGCGUAGACGGUUAUCUAAGUCGGAUGUGAAAGCCCCGGGCUCAACCUGGGAAUUGCAUUCGAGACUGAAUAGCUAGGGUACGGUAGAGGGAAGUGGAAUUUCCGGUGUAGCGGUGAAAUGCGUAGAUAUCGGAAGGAACAUCAGUGGCGAAAGCGACUUCCUGGACCAGUACCGACGUUCAGGCACGAAAGCGUGGGGAGCAAACAGG